rnacentral:rRNA from 1 species
AGUGAACGCUGGCGGUAGGCCUAACACAUGCAAGUCGAACGGCAGCACAGUAAGAGCUUGCUCUUACGGGUGGCGAGUGGCGGACGGGUGAGGAAUACAUCGGAAUCUACUUUUUCGUGGGGGAUCACGUAGGGAAACUUACGCUAAUACCGCAUACGACCUACGGGUGAAAGCAGGGGAUCUUCGGACCUUGCGCGAUUGAAUGAGCCGAUGUCGGAUUAGCUAGUUGGCGGGGUAAAGGCCCACCAAGGCGCCGAUCCGUAGCUGGUCUGAGAGGAUGAUCAGCCACACUGGAACUGAGACACGGUCCAGACUCCUACGGGAGGCAGCAGUGGGGAAUAGUGGACAAUGGGCGCAAGCCUGAUCCAGCCAUACCGCGUGGGUGAAGAAGGCCUUCGGGUUGUAAAGCCCUUUUGUUGGGAAAGAAAAGCAGCAGGUUAAUACCCCGCUGUUCUGACGGUACCCAAAGAAUAAGCACCGGCUAACUUCGUG